rnacentral:lncRNA from 1 species
CAUGUUUGGGGCAGCCUCAUAAAGCAGAAAAAGCACACAUUUCCCAGUGAGACAGAACUGGGCUGCAGUCUCAGAUCUGCCACAUUUGACUGUGAGCCUAGGGAAGUCACUUUACCUCUCUGAGCUUCAGCUCUCUUAUCUAGGGAAUGAUAAUAGUCCCUGCCUCACAGGGAUGAGAUGACACAGGGAAUGUAAAGUUCCAGCAACAAAUGGUUGAUCCAUAAUGCUG